rnacentral:rRNA from 1 species
AGCAAACAGGAUUAGAUACCCUGGUCGCCCACGCUGUAACCGAUGAGUACUAGGUGUCGGGGGUUACCCCCUUCGGUGCCGCAGCUAACGCAUUAAGUACUCCGCCUGGGAAGUACGCUCGCAAGAGUGAAACUCAAAGGAAUGGACGGGGACCCGCACAAGUAGCGGAGCAUGUGGUUUAAUUCGAAGCAACGCGAAGAACCUUACCUAAGCUUGACAUCCCAAUGACAUCUCCUUAAUCGGAGAGUUCCCUUCGGGGACAUUGGUGACAGGUGGUGCAUGGUUGUCGUCAGCUCGUGUCGUGAGAUGUUGGGUUAAGUCCCGCAACGAGCGCAACCCUUGUCUUUAGUUGCCAUCAUUAAGUUGGGCACUCUAGAGAGACUGCCAGGGAUAACCUGGAGGAAGGUGGGGAUGACGUCAAAUCAUCAUGCCCCUUAUGCUUAGGGCUACACACGUGCUACAAUGGGUAGUACAGAGGGUUGCCAAGCCGUAAGGUGGAGCUAAUCCCUUAAAGCUACUCUCAGUUCGGAUUGUAGGCUGAAACUCGCCUACAUGAAGCUGGAGUUACUAGUAAUCGCAGAUCAGAAUGCUGCGGUGAAUGCGUUCCCGGGUCUUGUACACACCGCCCGUCACACCACGGGAGUUGGAGACGCCCGAAGCCGAUUAUCUAACCUUUUGGAAGAAGUCGUCGAAGGUGGAAUCAAUAACUGGGGUGAAGUCGUAACAAGGUAGCCGUAUCGGAAGGUGCGGCUGGAUCACCUCCUUUCUAAGGA